rnacentral:tRNA from 1 species
GCUACAUUGGCAGAUUAGUGCAGUAAAUUUAGAAUUUAUAUAUAUGAUUUUUAAAUUAUAUGUAGUA